rnacentral:lncRNA from 1 species
AUUUGACAAAAAAGCUGGAGAAAGCCACCCCUGCUGUGAGCACAGACACCAUUCCUGCUGCACGAAGUGGAACACCAGGGCAAGCUUUGUAGGGACACGAGAAUUAGCUGGGACAGAUAAAAAUGGCAGUAACAGAAAAUGAAAUACAAGGCAUUCCUUGCAAAUUUAAUUCUCCUUUUAGUGAUUCAUGUCCUUUUCAUUUGCCAGGCUGGCACAAUUACCAAGGUCAAUGCAAAUGUGCUGUCAGCUGCAGGAAAUUGUCAGGGAAGAGAAGACAUCUCUAUUAAUCUUACCUGCCUCAACUCCCAACCAACAGAAGCUCUCCCAUACCAUGGUAAGACAGAGGGUUUUCUGGAAUUUUAGAAGGGAUAAGAACUGGUUCUUAUCACUUCACUGGUUCUCCUCUCCUAAAAGCACUCCGUUUCUUCCCUACAGUCUAACUCUCACCCUAAAUGGCAGAGCUGGUCCAGCCAGAGAUGUACCCAUUCUCCAUCCACAAUGUGCCAAAAGCUGUGCAGGCAGCUGUGGAACAAAAAAAAAAAAAAAGAUUCCAGAAGAGAACACUGGUAAAAUGUCACUUCUGAGACCAGUCAGUUCUGUGAAAUGUAAGAACAUUGCUAUUGCAUCGUCUGCCAGCACCAUGGCACUGCAGAAAUCCUCCUCUCUGUAGAGAAUGGGUGGGCUCCACCAUCUGUCUCCCAAGCACUGCAGAGAGCACAACAACUCCCUCUGCACAUGCUCUGGCACGCAGCAGCAGCGAGUGGUGUCCCCAGCUCUGGCUUCGAGUGGGCAGAUGUGAGCAAAUAGGAUUUAUCAAUUCAUCAUUGUGUUGCUUUUAGCUUUGCUUUGGUAAAACUGCACUGAAUCCCACUGAGCUAAGAUGGAAUAAUACCUCAGAGAACCUGCUGCUCCUUCCCCCACCCAUCCAUGCCCCACCUCAACCACAGCUUUCACCACACAGACAGGUGGGUUUGGGAAGCAAACUCUUUCAAGAAUGAAGCACUAGCAGAGCAGACAGCUCUGAGGAAAGCUUCUUUCCCAG